rnacentral:lncRNA from 1 species
AAAAAGUAUUUGCACUACAUUUAUUUAAACAUUAGGAAAAAAAGCCAACCCAUGCUUUUCUUUGCCGAGAUGUAGGGCUGUAUUAUUGGCUAGUGAGAAGCCUGGGAACACUAGGACUUUGUGUGGGCUGAUUGCAGGUAUCAGAUCCGGGAUUAUACAGGUACUGUUGGAAGUAUCUUGGGGAUUUUCCUGAUAAGAACAGUAGUGAUUGCAUAAAAAGGACAGGAUGUAAAGUGAAAUCAGUAAAAUAUCUUAGUAGACAGAGG